CCCCCAUCUCCCGAUUUCGGACGUCUCAAGGUUGUAAGUAUGCUGGUGGCUCCAUGGAGCUUUUUGAAAAAUGUAAUGAAAUGGAAAAAAAAAUAGGGUGCAAAAUGUUUUUUGUAACAUGGUUUCAGUAGGAGGACAAACACGACGCAAACCUUCCCAAUUGAUAGCAAUCCCACUGUUUAAUAUGUGUGUACGCUUCAACGAUGAGAAUAAUUGGCGAGCGCCGUUUUGUCCUACUAAUUUCAGCGGCCCUUGAACUCACCGUUGUGUGGACUGUGACUCAACAGUUUGUUUACGUGUAUAACUUUCUCUGACGCUGCCACAGAAAGAUGUGUUUUAUGCCACUCCUUCUUUGUCUCAUUUUGUCCACCAAACGUUUUAUGCUGUGCUUUAAUGCACAAAGGUGCGCUUUGUUGAUGUUAUUGACUUGUUGGAGUGCUAAUCAGGCAUAUUUGGUCAGUGCAUGACUGCAAGCUAAUCCGUGCCAACAUGCUAUUUGGGCUAGCUGUAUGUACAUAUUGCAUCAUUAUGCCUCAUGUAGCUAUAUUUGAGCUCAUCUAAUUUCCUCUAUUUAAGUCCUCUGUGUAUGUGAUUUAUAUUUGCAUAUCAAAUGACACAUAUGUAUGUAAUAUUGGCUGCAUUUCUCAUAGUUGUUUGUGUGCCAUGUUGUUCCAGACCACAGCAAAUGUUGCCUGGCUUGCAAAGAUUGUAAUAAAUCCAUUAGAAGAAGACGGUCUGCCGUUAUGUUCAUCUUGGACACACACAUAUAUAGCUUUGGCCAUUUUAAGACCGUCAUUUCCAGGAGUUAUCUCCCACUGUGAGAAGUUUUACUAAUGUUUUCCAAUUUUGUAAAAAUGUGUAGAAUAAAUGACAUUUCAACAUAUCUGUCAAAAAAGAUUUGCGUCAACCUGCAACACGUAGUCAUUGUGAUUGUAGGGUAACAUAGACACUUGCAUCAUGGGUUGCCAUCAUUAUAAAACUUAUAUAAGGCUUUUAAUUUUUUGCGGCUAAAGACCGAUUAUUUUUUUGUAUUUGUGGUCCAAUAUGGCUCUUUCAACAUUUUAAUUGAACAGUGUUGGUUGCCGACCCCUACCAUUAAGACCAGCGGACCCGGGGAACCUUUGCCAGAACGUCGCUCAUCUUCCCAUGACUUCCCUGUCAUCCGUGAUCGUGUUUUGCCUCUCGACGUCCAUCCAGAUUCCCGACCGCCUUCCUCGAUCCUCGACCCCUGCUCGGACACGGACUACGCUGCCUCGCUCCUACCCUCGACCCCUUGCCUGUUUACAGACUGCCUUUUCGGCAUGCCCCCCCCCCUUGAUUCGACGAAGGAUACAUCCAACACUCACAGACAACAACCCCUGGUAACAUUUACACUAUUAAUUAUACACAUAGCCACGUAAUCAUCAAAGGUUUAAAUAAACCUUGUAAACUGCAGUUCUGCCUUGGUUGCCGCCUCCUUCCCUUCUCUGUACACAACACAGUCUCGAUUGACUUCUCUCGCUAUUACAAAAUGGUGACAUUUAUAGACAGGUAAAGAACUAACUUUCAUUACGUAAUCUAAAAACAACGUAAUAUUUGUAAGUGUCAACUUGUUGACACAUUGUGGACGCUGACAAAGGGUAGGAAAAUAAGCUCUGCGUCUUCUUACUCCUUUUCAAAUGUGUUGAAUUGUGUAACCUAACCGUACUCAUGUUUUGUAACGUAUUGUCCCGGACAAAAUAAACCGUAAUAUGGCAUGUUUUUGUGUACCUGUACAGGAAGAGGUAUCUCUCCUUGUAGGAACUGCGGCCAAGCGGCUCACUGACAAUGUUCUUGUACCGAAACUGAGGAGAACCUCUGGGGAAACACACACAGUGGGAAUUAGAAGAUCUGGAAAAACGAGGUGAUGCCUGCAGACUUUCAGGACGAGCUAGUUCAAGACAGAGGUCAAGACCGUCUGUGAAAACCACAAAGGGAACUCCAUCCUUGCAAAAGCAGGUGAAAAACUUGCCAGAAUUCUUGCAAGCCGCCUCCAGUACUAUGUUACCUGAAUCACAAUGUGGGUUUCGACAAUCUACAGGCACCAUGAACAUGAUUUUAAGUGCAGGAAAAAUGUUGAGAAUAAAUUCUUCAACUGUGAACGGCUUUUACAGAUCAGUCUAAACCAGAGGUGUCCACACUGCGAUCUGCGGGCAUGAUACUUCCCAAGUAUUAUCUCUUACAGUCUAAAUUCACUCGUAGCAUCCGACUACCAAAAAAACAUAUUGUGUGGGUAUAAGCGGCCAAAAUCAGUUUUCUCCGGAGGCGCUUGGAGUAAAGCCGCUGCUCCUCCACAUCAAGAGGAGCCAGUUGGGGUGGGUCGGGCAUCUGGUUAGGAUGCCCCAACGGACCGCUCCCUGGGGAGGUGUUUAGAGCACACCCGACCCCGGGAGGGAGACACAGGGGAGACCCAAGACGCGCUGGAGAGACUGUGUCCCCCAGCUGGCCUGGGAAUGCCUUGAGAUCCCUCAGGAGGAGUUGGACUAAGUAGCCAGGGAAUGGGAAGUCUUAGCUUCUCUGCUGAGGCCGCUGGGAGUUUUUCAUACGUUCUAAUACAAUGGUAUAAUCGACAGUUUUACAUUAUAUGUCAGUUUGUUGUUUUUACAGUGCAUUUGACUGUAAAUGGGAAAACAGUACCUCUUUUAUUUGUACAGUACAAUUCGGCCGACGAAGCUGGCGAUAUUUUACCGUAAAAUCUACUGAUUUUUUUUAACAUGGUAUCUUUAUUCCACAAAGAUUGAUUGAUUGAUUGAUUGAUUGAUACUUUUAUUAGUAGAUUGCACAGUACAGUACAUAUUCCGUACAGUUGACCACUAAAUGGUAACACCCGAAUAAAUUUUUCAACUUGUUUAAGUCGGGGUCCACGUUAAUCAAUUCAUGGUAGAUUAUAAACAACCUUUAUUAACAUUGCUUAAGGCAUACAAAAUAAGUCAGUGCCCCACCAGCCGUGAAUCUAAACUACAUGUCAGUAUUUAUCAGUAUCAGAACAGAGGUUCCACCGCCUCCAAAGCAGAAGCACCAGGUUCUGCAACAUCUUCUUCCCUUUGGCCGUAAGACUCUUGAACGCAUCAUAAUUAUCCCCUUAAAUCCCCCCCAAAAUAGAUUAACUUGCUGGAAUAUUAAGAUAAUAUAACAUACAUCCAUAAACAUGAAUGCAUAUGAAAAAGUGCAAUAUAUUUAUCUGUACAGUAAUCUAUUUAUUUAUAUGUGCACCUUAUUGCUUUUUAUCCUGCACUACCAUGAGCUAAUGCAACGAAAUUGUGUUCUUAUCUGUACUGAAAAGUUCAAAUUUGAAUGACAAUGAAAAGGAAGUCUACGUCUAAGUAUUUAGUUGUUGUUUUUUCAUUGUAAAUGAUUCGGCUGCAACAAUUAAUCGAUUUCAAUUCAGACAUCCGAUUAGAAGAAAUCUUAGAUUUUUAUUCUGUUGCUUUGAUCAAAUUAGAUUUUUUUUUUUAAAUAUAUAAAAAAAAAAAACAUUUUAAAUGCAAUUUUGUUGUUAAUGAUGUGCAAAAAUAAAGAAUGAAGGGAAUGGCAAGCAUAUAUUUUUUUGUCUAUUUCAACUAUUUUCCUUAUAAUAAUAAUAAUAAUAAUAAUACAUUUUAUUUGAUAUAGCGCUUUUCAGAGUACUCAAAGACGCUUUAAAGGAUAAAAAAAUCAAAUACACAGUUCAAAGUAAUAAUAUAAAAUACAGGAAAUAUAAAAGCAGCACAUUGUAAAAUACACAGUAAUACUUUCUCAAAACACAACUAUUCAGAUCUGCUUUUAACCAGUGAUUAGUGCUCUGUGUCCUGUAAUGUCCCGUCUUGUAAAAUAGACAUUGAUGCUAUAAAAUAUUUGAUUACUAAAUUAAUCAAACAACCUUAACGAUUGAUUAAUCGAUUACUAUAAUAAUUGAUAGCUGCAACCCUAGUAACCUGAAGACAAAGUGGUUUGAUGGCGUUAUCUGCCUUGCAUCUGUCAAUUCACAAAGUAGUUUACAGAAGUAAGAUGCUAUGACAAGACAUAAUGUUGUAGUUCUUGUUUUAUUUUGUUAUUUUGCACGAUUUAUCUAAUUUUGCUUGAACAAUUGUCAUAAACGGGUAUAAUUGCAUCAUUUUGUUGGUAUUGUUGCAUUGUUUUGUUCACAAACAAGUUUGUUGAUUUGAAAAAAAAAAUGUUUGCCUAAAAUCUGUGUUUUAUUCUGGUUUAUAAAGUAAAGCUGCAAGUAAAAAUAUCAAUGUCGACAAUACUGACUUUUACUUUUCAAAGUUGCAGUAUCGCCCACCCCUGCUGUAAACAGGGGUGACCUUCCUUCCUAAGUACAUUGAACAAGUAAGUCAAGUAUCUAGCGUUAUUUACGACAGUAUCAUCAUGCUUAUCACACAGUACUUACAGUACAGGGCGACAACAAACUACUUUUUAAGCACUGCUGUGGACGAGAAUGGAAUAAAACAGUCGCUGAUACCUGAUUCUCCGAGCGCAGACGCUUGCCGCAUGAAACUCGUGGAACAGAACCACCGAUUGAGGUUGUGGACAAGCCUUUAUCUGACCACUGGGUCAUGUGACCUGUAACCAAGCUGGCCAGGAGUGCAGCGGCACUCUCACGGCCCGAGAGAUUUAAGUACAGGGGUGUGCCAGGCACGUGCCAGUCCGGCUGCAGCAAGCAGCGUACCUGCCUUCAUAAGCCUGCACAACCUGCUAUCCCGGGCCAGAACGUACUCAUCUGUUCCCGUACACCUGCCUUCAUUCCCACGUUACGAGCUGUGUGUCUCAUCUUCCUACGUUCCCUUUGCUUCCCUGGCUGCCUCUUGGAUCUCGACUUCCCGCCUGGACACAGACCUCUGACGACUCUCUCGCCCCCAACUUCCUGCCUGUCUCACGGACUUAUGAGCCUGCUGCCC